rnacentral:tRNA from 1 species
CGGUGUGUAGCGCAGCCUGGUAGCGCACUUCGUUCGGGACGAAGGGGUCGGAGGUUCAAAUCCUCUCACACCGACCA